AAGAAUUAAAUGGAUGAAAUAUGAAGUUUUAUUAAAAGAAAAAGGGGUGAAAAGAACAAAGUUUUGUCCAUCUUUGUUCAUCAUAGCUGAAAGUUAGAGAAGAGAAAGGAGAGGAGAAAGCUCUUGAGUAUUCGGUCAUUAAGAGGAGGAAAAUUGAAGGCCGUUCGUGUGUGGAUCUCGUCAGCAUAUCGUCGCAAACAGAUGUGUAACUAACACCCUCUUUCUUAGUCUAGAUCGGAAAAAUCCGAAAAGCCGAAAUGCCGAAAACUGGUAUUUUGUAGAUUUGCGAGUGUGCGAAUGCUCGUGAGAUUAACGGGAGGGUCAGAGGAUCGGAUCAUCACGCUCAAGUCACACUAUCUCGAUUUUCCGGUAGAUUUUGUUAUAAAUACUUUAAAUGGUUUACAUGGCAUCUAUAAUAGCUUAUAUGACUAUGUUUUGUAUCAACUCAUGAAUAUAUUAGUUAAGUUAAUAUAAGUUGAUAUAUGAUAUGAAUGGAAAUUAACUAAGAUGUUUAAAUACUACUUGAAAGUAUGAAUGGAUAUAAUGUUAGAUAAAAUAA